rnacentral:pre_miRNA from 1 species
AAAAAGACAAACUCUGAUUUCUGUGUCCAACUUUGACUGUCCGUUUUAUAUGAAAUUUUUUUAUAAUUCGUAUUUUUAUUGUUGUUAGAUGAUAAAAUAUGAUUAAUAUUUUAUGCGUGACUUGUCUUUUUAAUUUUUUUUAUAUUUUUUUAAAUAAGACGGAUGGUCAAAUGUUGGACACGGAAAUCAGGGUU